GACGAACGCUGGCGGCGUGCCUAAUACAUGCAAGUCGAGCGAAGUUUUUCUGGUGCUUGCACUAGAAAAACUUAGCGGCGAACGGGUGAGUAACACGUAAAGAACCUGCCUCAUAGACUGGGACAACUAUUGGAAACGAUAGCUAAUACCGGAUAACAGCAUUAACUGCAUGGUUAAUGUUUGAAAGUUGGUUUUGCUAACACUAUGAGAUGGCUUUGCGGUGCAUUAGCUAGUUGGUGGGGUAAAGGCCUACCAAGGCGACGAUGCAUAGCCGACCUGAGAGGGUGAUCGGCCACACUGGGACUGAGACACGGGCCCAGACUCCUACGGGAGGCAGCAGUAGGGAAUCUUCCGCAAUGGGCGAAAGCCUGACGGAGCAACGCCGCGUGAGCGAGGAAGGAUUUCGGUUCGUAAAGCUCUGUUGUUAGGGGAAGAAUGAUUAUGUAGUAACUUAUACAUAGUAGAGACGGGUACUAACCAGAAAGCCACGGCUAACUACGUGCCAGCAGCCGCGGUAAUACGUAGGUGGCAAGCGUUGUCGGGAAUUAUUGGGCGUAAGGCGCGCGCAGGUGGUUUAAUAAGUCUGAAGGUGAAAAGCCCCACGGCUCAACCGGGGAGGGUCUAUUGGAAACUGUAAACUUGGAGUGCGAGGGAGAGAAAGAGUGAAUUUCCUAGUGUAGCGUUGAAAUUGCGUAGAGAUUAAGGAGAACCACAGGUGGCGGAGGCUGCUUUUUGGGCCUGUAACUGACACUGAGCGGCGGAGACGUGGGGGAGCAAACAGGAAUAAGAUAGCCUGGUAGCCAAGGGGCGAAUUCCACAGGGUUUUAAUGUUAUCGAUCCGGCGACCCUCGAGGGGGUCCCUCUUUUUUAUUUUUAUUUUCAUAUAAAGAAAUAGAUUAGGG
rnacentral:rRNA from 1 species